rnacentral:rRNA from 1 species
GACGAACGCUGGCGGCGUGCCUAAUACAUGCAAGUCGAACGCUGAAGAGAGGAGCUUGCUCUUCUUGGAUGAGUUGCGAACGGGUGAGUAACGCGUAGGUAACCUGCCUUGUAGCGGGGGAUAACUAUUGGAAACGAUAGCUAAUACCGCAUAACAAUGGAUGACACAUGUCAUUUAUUUGAAAGGGGCAAUUGCUCCACUACAAGAUGGACCUGCGUUGUAUUAGCUAGUAGGUGAGGUAACGGCUCACCUAGGCGACGAUACAUAGCCGACCUGAGAGGGUGAUCGGCCACACUGGGACUGAGACACGGCCCAGACUCCUACGGGAGGCAGCAGUAGGGAAUCUUCGGCAAUGGGGGCAACCCUGACCGAGCAACGCCGCGUGAGUGAAGAAGGGUUUCGGAUCGUAAAGCUCUGUUGUAAGUCAAGAACGAGUGUGAGAGUGGAAAGUUCACACUGUGACGGUAGCUUACCAGAAAGGGACGGCUAACUACGUG